UAGGGAAUCUUCGGCAAUGGACGAAAGUCUGACCGAGCAACGCCGCGUGAGUGAAGAAGGUUUUCGGAUCGUAAAACUCUGUUGUUAGAGAAGAACAAGGACGUUAGUAACUGAACGUCCCCUGACGGUAUCUAACCAGAAAGCCACGGCUAACUACGUGCCAGCAGCCGCGGUAAUACGUAGGUGGCAAGCGUUGUCCGGAUUUAUUGGGCGUAAAGCGAGCGCAGGCGGUUUCUUAAGUCUGAUGUGAAAGCCCCCGGCUCAACCGGGGAGGGUCAUUGGAAACUGGGAGACUUGAGUGCAGGAGAGGGGACUGCAAUUCCAUGUGUAGCGGUGAAAUACGUAUAUAUCUGGAGGAACACCAGUGGCGAAGGCGGCUCUCUGGUCUGUAACUGACGAUGAGGCUCGAAAGCGUGGGGAGCAAACAGG
rnacentral:rRNA from 1 species